UGGGCGUAAGAGCUCGUAGGCGGUUUGUCGCGUCUGCUGUGAAAUCCCGAGGCUCAACCUCGGGCCUGCAGUGGGUACGGGCAGACUAGAGUGCGGUAGGGGAGAUUGGAAUUCCUGGUGUAGCGGUGGAAUGCGCAGAUAUCAGGAGGAACACCGAUGGCGAAGGCAGAUCUCUGGGCCGUAACUGACGCUGAGGAGCGAAAGGGUGGGGAGCAAACAGGCUUAGAUACCCUGGUAGUCCACCCCGUAAACGUUGGGAACUAGUUGUGGGGUCCAUUCCACGGAUUCCGUGACGCAGCUAACGCAUUAAGUUCCCCGCCUGGGGAGUACGGCCGCAAGGCUAAAACUCAAAGGAAUUGACGGGGACCCGCACAAGCGGCGGAGCAUGCGGAUUAAUUCGAUGCAACGCGAAGAACCUUACCAAGGCUUGACAUAUACGAGAACGGGCCAGAAAUGGUCAACUCUUUGGACACUCGUAAACAGGUGGUGCAUGGUUGUCGUCAGCUCGUGUCGUGAGAUGUUGGGUUAAGUCCCGCAACGAGCGCAACCCUCGUUCUAUGUUGCCAGCACGUAAUGGUGGGAACUCAUGGGAUACUGCCGGGGUCAACUCGGAGGAAGGUGGGGAUGACGUCAAAUCAUCAUGCCCCUUAUGUCUUG
rnacentral:rRNA from 1 species